rnacentral:piRNA from 1 species
UAACUAUGUGACCAAGAAAGUUAG